rnacentral:rRNA from 1 species
GAUUAAGCCAUGCAUGUGUAAGUGUAAAUAAUUUUACUUUGAAACUGCGAAUGGCUCAUUAUAUCAGUUAUAGUUUAUUAGAAAUAUUUUACUACUUGGAUAACCGUAGUAAUUCUAGGGCUAAUACAUGAGUAAAACCUCAACUUCGGAAGAGGUGUGUUUAUUAGUAUGAAAACCAUAUAUCUUCGGAUAUAAUAGUGAGUAAUAAUAACCUUUCAUAUCGUAUGUCGUAAGAUAACGAUAGUUCUUUCAAGUUUCUGCCCUAUCAGCUUUCGAUGGUAGUAUAUGGGACUACCAUG